GUUAUUUAUUUAUAUUUAUUUUUUAUUUUAUUUUUUUAAUUUUUUUCUUCUCCUUCGAGCACGCACUGCCAUCCCCUUGGCGCAUAUUAAAAAAUUGACUUAGAACCAUGGUUGUCGCUUUAUUUUGACGACGUCAAAUUAUUAUUAAUCAAAUAAUAAUAAUCUAUUAUUAAUCAAAUUGAUGGUUUGAUACCGUUCUAUUUUCAGAUAUAGAAGUCAA
rnacentral:lncRNA from 1 species